ensembl:lncRNA LINC02096 long intergenic non-protein coding RNA 2096
GGUAACUUGGUUGGGUGUUCUUCUCUGCUGUGUAGGCUUUGUUCUUUUGCUCUUUGCAGUAAAUGUUGCUGCUGCUGACUGUUGGGUCCCAGCCGUCUUUAAAAGCUAUUACACUCACGGUGAAGGUCUGUGGUUUCACUCCUGAAAUCAAGCGAGUGUACGAACCCACCGGAAGGAAGAAACUCCAGACUCCGAAGGAACAAACUCUGGACACACCAAAUGUAAGAAUUGUAACACUCACCGCGACGGUCCGUGGCGUCCACCCUCGCAGCUUCUUUCUUGAAGUCGCCGAGACCAAGAGCGCACCGAAAGGAACCAAUUGUGGACACAUCCGUUUUAGUGGAAUAAUAGUCCUUGGUUCUCUGGACAACCGGGAGAAUUGCAUUUUCUGAGGCCCACGAUAAGCACCCAACCGUUAAUAUUUCCAUGCUUCUCUGUCCAUCCCAUGGAGCCUGGGGCUUGAGGGACUGUGCAGUGAGGCAGCAACUCACAUCUCCAGCUGUUGGACUGGUCCUGCCAGCGACGUCUGCUCAGUAGAACAAGCAGCACUUCCCCCAGCUCAGCACUGUCUCAUUUCUGAGACUGAACACCCCGUGGUCACUCUACAUGGAUGGGUUAAUUUCCCUUGGAAAAGUAUUGAUGAUCAAGUGAUGCUAGCAGCAACAGUGUUAAAGGCUUUAACGCUUUUAAAGGUGAGACUUUUGGGAGUUGAUUAGGUCAUGAGGAUGGAGCCUGGUGAAUGGGAUCAGUGAAAGAGGCCUGAUGUGAGAUGUCUUUAGCUAUGUCAAAGAGGCAGACAGUGCAAAGCCCAUCACUCAAGAAACCUCUCCACAACCAGAGCUGCUGCACCUCCUUGUUUUGUUCGGUUGGAUGCAUUGUUAAAGGUUGAUUUGUUUGCAGUUCAGACAAUGGGUACCACCAUCAAAAGCAGCAGAUUCAAGUCAGCAAAUGUUUGAGCAAGCAGGGCAUUAUCCAAUCAGCCUUACCUAUUUGGGAUUCAAGCUUGAAAGGCCCCUCAGAAAGACAAUAAACAGUUUCCUUGACACAUCGAAUGAAGUCCAAACCAAACAAAUUCCUCGCUAGGCAAGAUCUGGAGUCUGACACUUUUUCUUUGAUUGGGACAUACAAAAAAAAGUGUCCUCAUGAUUGGUACCGAAAAAAUAACGGAUUCCUUUCUCAUUGGGCCCACCUUUUCCUAAAUGUCAUUUAGUUCGUUUUUAUCUAUUUAUGAACUUUUAUUCCUUUUGCUGUUAAAAAUGAACAACAAAGUAAUAAUGCACCAUCAAGAGGAAAAACUAAGUUCGCACUCUGGCUUCUCAUACGUGUGCAAGUGUAUAAAACCAUGUUUUCAGAUGGAUUUUAAAAUGGUCAUGGAGCUCUUCUUUGAAUAUCAAUAUUCACGUGCUGUGUUUUCAUAGUUCCUUGGUAUUUAUAUGACGGCUCUCUAAUGUUUUAAAGCAAUUCAUUUUGUCAGGAAUGUAAGUGGUUUCCAAAUUUCCACUCUCCAAACCGCACUGCACGGCAGUGAACAUUCCUAUAACUAAAUCUAUGCUCAUGUCCUUACAGUUAAAUUUCCUGCACUGGAAUUACUGGGUUAGGAUAAGAACAUUUUCAAGACUGUUGAAAUAUUUGCCACACUUUCCUCUAGAUAAGUUGUUCCGAUUUUCGCCCCAUUGGCAAUACGUACUCUUUGAAGUAUUAUACUGUUGAAAAUAUGUGUCAAAUAAAUGAAUUCUCAAUGUU